rnacentral:lncRNA from 1 species
UUGGUCGCUGUCGUGGGUAUAAGUCUGACAUUAGAUGUGUAGGGUACGAAAGGAUGGGCAGAGCCUUAGCUACGGAGAGGUUGUAUGAGUUCAGGCCCCUCUAUGGUGGAGGUAAUAGCCCUACGUCUCAGUGCUCUGGGAGCUUGUUGUCGAGUGGAAUAUGGAUUACAGUGAAUUGCUAACCCCUGCACUAGUGGGGGAGGGCGGCUUAUAUAGAGUGCGCUGCCCUCCACAACGGUUCGGUGCAUAGGGGUGGAGUAGUGGCAAAUAAAUGCCUACGUUACAGGUAACGUAUGUCUUAAAUGCUAAUAAAGGCACAUGGAAACGUAUGACCGUUUCUCUCCAGGGGGGUUACGAUGCACAGAGUGGAAUCCAGUCGGUUAGUUUGAUAUUCUCCGAAUGCUCAUCUCCGACUGGAUGGUGGAGGAUCUGUUACCGACUGGAUGAUGGGAACUCCUUAGUUCAGUCGGAACUGACUAAGGGCCUUGUCCCUUAUGAGGGGUAGUCCUUGGGUAGGACCUACAGGGCAGGCCUAUGACCCUACUCUAGGACUAUAACCCCAUCAUUAGUCCCUGAAUGGAUUGGGGUUGGAACGACGAAGCGAUGCUUGAAGUAUGGAUCCGACUGGUACGGAUGUGACUUUGGCGUUGCUUGCCUCGAUCCAUUUUAUCUUUUCUGACCAACAAUCCGAGUGGAAGUAUUUGUUAAACGUACCGUCAGGGACCGAGUGCUUCCGCGGUAUCUUCUGACAUGACCAGUCAACUGACAGCGGCGGAUUUUCUGGGAUCCUCAAAUUUCGGUUACCGCGCGCUCAGCGGGGAUGACGACAUCGCGCUCGAGUAGUACCUGACGCCUCGAUUCCCGCGCCUUCAUCUUCUCCACUGAUAUCGCCGCGACUGGUCGGGGGAUAAGAUUUCGGGGCCAUUUGCCAGUGACCCAGUCAGAACCUUACUUAAACCUCAGCGGCGAGGGUUUUUUCGUUACACUCGCCAGAUAUCUUGCACUUGCCUGCUCCGCUCCUCUCGCCACCUCCUGCGCAUCCCAAGCUUCUUCCUUCUUCUUCUCCCCCGCGGAUCCGCACCUUCCGCCAUGACCAAGGGGCAGACUAGCAAGCUGGAGGCGAAGAAGAAGAAGGGGAAGGCGGCGGAUCCUACUCAGCGGCGACAGCGAACGCUACCGGCGGGGUGGAUCCAGGGGGAUUUCCUCCCCUCCACGGUGACGGAGGAGAACCUGCUGGAGUUGGUGGAGCACGGGAUGAUCAUGCACAAGUCGUGGAGGUUGCCGGCGGAAGGCGAGACCGAGCCGGCGCCCCGGGAGGGGGAGCGCGUCUUGCUCCUCAGCCACGUGUACCAAGGUUUUUCUCUGCCUCCACACCCCUUCUUCAAUGGUAUCAUGAACCACUUCGGGGCGCAGCUCCACUACUUUCAUCCCAAUGCCAUAGCUCAUCUCUCUGCCUUCGUUGUGUUGUGCGAGUGUUUCAUUAGCUGUCCUCCCCGUUGGGGGCUUUUCAAACAUAUCUUCUCUGCUAGAUCCCAUACCAUCAAAUGGCUUAGCCAGUCGGAUGACAAAACCCACCUUCUCCAGCUCUGCGGAGGCUUAGGCUUCCAAAAGAAGAGUAAAAGUAGCGAUCCUGCUCUGCAGUUGAGUGAAUCUAUUAGGAACUGGCAGUCGACAUGCUUCUACUGCCAGGACGUUGCUUGCCCGAAUGCUUCCACUGGACUCCCUCCUUUUAUCUUAGACCGACCGGCUCCUCCUAGGCAGCUCGCGCUCACGAAGGCGGAGAAAAACGAGAUCCAGCCUCUGGUCGAUGCGCUUGUAGAGGUCGUCUGAAAAGGAGUCACUGGCAUAGAUUUGCUGGAGGUUUUCCUGGGUCGGCGUAUCCAGCCUCUGCAAGCUCGACACCACGCCAUGUGGCAUUACACAGGGCCUGAGGACUCCACUCGGACCAACGUCGAGUGCGUGACCGGGGAGAUGGUGGCGUCGUGGGUCCUCAACAUCACCGGUGCCUGCGAAAACCCUAGAGGAUCUCGGCGAGUGAAGGCCUUCCGGGCGGACAAUCCUCCUCCAAACGCAGUGAGUACAACUUGUCGAGUGCACACAACUGUCUUAGAUUUAUUGCUUUCUUGAAUCACUGUCUGACGUCUGAUGUCGUCGACUGUAUCUUGCACAGGAGUGGACUAACUGGUUUUCUCCCAUCUCGAACGGGAAUCCGACCGAGGAGGAGGAAGGAAGCCAGGAGGGCAGCGUGGAGAGCGGCGAGUACGUCUCCGACAGCGGGGAGACGGAAGAGGAGUCCGCAGAAGAAGAAGAGGCAGAUGAGGAGCAGAACUCGCUGCCUCCACCACCAGAGCCUCGGACUAAGCGCCGUCAUGAACCGGUGGCUCCUUCAGCUCCUCCAGCAUCCUCGAGUGCGCCGCCGGCUCCUCCAGCUGCUCCUGUGGUACCAAGUGCUUCGCCAGCCGUUCUCGUGGCUCCGAGCGUUCGGAGCGCAAAGAGGACCAGGGACUCUGCUGCUGAGCCAGCGGGCCAACCCUCCAAAGCAGCAAAACCGAGUGGAUCUAAGCCUCGGAAGGCCUUACCGCGGAUGAGGGUCACGGUUCCCGUCACCUCAACGUAAGUGCAUUGUCCUUCUAUCUUCCUUCAGUAUUUGAUUAAACUUCUGCUUAUUGGUCGAAUGUAUUUUACUCGACAGAGUUGCCACCUCUGCCACCUCUCCGACAUGCCAGGGGGAUGAUCCCAUGGACAUGGACAACGUUGCCACAUCCCAGCCAGGUGCGUCGUAGUGACUCCGAGAGCCUACGAUAUUGUGUCACCAAUUCUGUCUUUGGUCUUGCCUUUUUCCUGUGGUCUCAGGCCGUUCGGUCGGGUUUUUCUCAGGGGUGAUUUUUGUGGAGGACGACGACCAGGGGAGGUCUGAGCAAGCUGGGUGCCUGUCCUUGAGGCUGUUCCGCCGGUUACUACUCUUGCCAUGGACGCGCCGCCGACUGAGGUGAUACCGUCGACUGAAACGGCACUGAUCGCUGUUGAACCGACUCGAGCGGGCCUUGGGAUGCCCAAGGAGCCUCCUAUGAUGCCAGGCCCGUCGACUAUCGAGUACAACGUCCAGCGCCUCCCAGAAGAUCAGGUGGGAGCUGUCAAGGGGGCUAUGGUGCAGGCGGAGCUGAUGGCGGGAGAGGCCAAGAAGGCGUACGACUCCAUCGCGUCCUUGUACAAGCGGAGCUUGGAACUGCGGGACGAUAUCCGAGUAAGUGGGCUAGUAAGUAUUUACUUUCCUCUUGUAACCCACUGGGUGUGCCCGGACAUCUUAUGAUUUUUUGCAAUGGGUUCACUCUUAGUGAACCCAGUGGGUGUAGUCCCCGAGACUUCUGUCGAGUGCUUGCACCGGCAGUUGUCUUUAUACACAUUGUCUUUAACUUGAUCAGAUCAAAAAUUAAUCUGUUUGAGUGUUAACAGUUGGGGCACUCGGAGUGCACCUACUGGAUGAGUCCCCGAGAGUAAUUUUACUCAGGUCGGGUAGUAGUAGCCUCAUAGGCUUAGGUGUUGUCAUGUAGCUUAAUAGGGAGGACCUGUUUGAGUUUCAUGCCAGUGGGGUCACUCUUAGUGAACCCACUGGGUGUAGUCCCCGAGACCGCUGUCGACUGCUUGCGUCGGCAGGGGUCUGAAGAACUUAGAACUUUUAUUGUUGAAUUUGUCUGACCGUCUUGUGACGCUGACUUGCAGAAAACUUGCGAGAUGGGGAUAGCGUACGAGACUCUGAGGGCUGAAAAGGUCCAAUUUGCUGGUGAGCUGGAUGUAGCAAUGAUUGCAAUGGCUGGUAUGAAGGAUGUUCUGGUGGAACGAGAAAAGUCCUUGGAGCAGGAUCGUGAGGCAAACAAGGCUUUGACUGCUGAGGUUGAGAAAAUGGGGAAACAAAGGACGAAGCUGAUGGGGCAGAUGAAAGUGCUGAACAGGCGGUGCAUAGCACAGGAAAAUUACGUCAGUGAUUGGGCCCGGAAGAUGAUAGCGCUUCUCGGUGGUAAGUCUUGUUUUUCCGAGUGCUUGUGGACUGUGCAUUUCAUUCUGCGCUGACUAUUUUCUCGUCCUGUCUUUGCAGAUUUUUGCAUGGAUGCUGAGGGUGAAGCAGCUGACGUUGAGCGGUCGAUGCUUGAGAACAUUCCACUCGGCGAGGAUGCCAAUCGAGAUAUGCUUCGAGCGCAUAUUCUCCUGGGCAAAGUUGGACCUUUCAUCGGUCGACUGAGAGAAGUCGUCGACCGAAUCAAGAAGGAGCUUUGGUUUGAAGAAGAGUCGCGGCACGAGAUGGAAGGCUUGAUGACUCGGCUGGAGGAGGUCCCGAACCGAGUGCAGUCAUGGAAGAAGUCUGCGGCUCGCUGUGGUGGGGACGUCGCUCUGUCUCUUGUCCGAGUGCAUUGCAAGGAGGUGCGCGAAGAGAAGCUGAAGGCGUUGCAGGUCGCCAACACAAAAAAGCUUCGAUUCAAAGAAUUCGCCCUANNNNNNNNNNNNNNNNNNNNNNNNNNNNNNNNNNNNNNNNNNNNNNNNNNNNNNNNNNNNNNNNNNNNNNNNNNNNNNNNNNNNNNNNNNNNNNNNNNNNAUUGAUCAAAGAUAGUCAGAGUCUUCUGAUUAUGAACAAGGUGUUGUUGCUUGAUAACUGGAUCACAUCAUUAGGAGAAUCACGUGAUGGACUAGACCCAAACUAAUAGACGUAGCAUGUUGAUCGUGUCAUUUUGUUGCUACUGUUUUCUGCGUGUCAAGUAUUUGUUCCUAUGACCAUGAGAUCAUAUAACUCACUGACACCGGAGGAAUGCUUUGUGUGUAUCAAACGUCGCAACGUAACUGGGUGACUAUAAAGAUGCUCUAUAGGUAUAUCCGAAGGUGUUCGUUGAGUUAGUAUGGAUCGAGACUGGGAUUUGUUACUCCAUGUGACGGAGAGGUAUCUCGGGGCCCACUCGGUAAUACAACAUCACACNNNNNNNNNNUGACUAUAAAGAUGCUCUACAGGUAUACCCGAAGGUGUUCGUUGAGUUAGUAUGGAUCGAGACUGGGAUUUCUCACUCCGUGUGACGGAGAGGUAUCUCGGGGCCCACUCGGUAAUACAACAUCACACACAAGCCUUGCAAGCAAAGUGACUUAGUGUAAGUUGCGGGAUCUUGUAUUACGGAACGAGUAAAGAGACUUGCCGGUAAACGAGAUUNNNNNNNNNNNNNNNNNNNNNNNNNNNNNNNNNNNNNNNNNNNNNNNNNNNNNNNNNNNNNNNNNNNNGAAUGACAUACGGGAUUAUAUGAAUCCUUGGCACUCAGGUUCAAACGAUAAGAUCUUCGUAGAAUAUGUGGGAUCCAAUAUGGGCAUCCAGGUCCCGCUAUUGGAUAUUGACCGAGGAGUCACUCGGGUCAUGUCUGCAUAGUUCUCGAACCCGCAGGGUCUGCACACUUAUGGUUCAACGUUGUUUUAUGCGUAUUUGAGUUAUAUGGUUGGUUACCGAAUGUUGUUCGGAGUCCUGAAUGAGAUCACGGACAUCACGAGGGUUUCCGGAAUGGUCCGGAAACGAAGAUUGAUAUAUAGGAUGNNNNNNNNNNAGGUUCGACGUUGUUUUAUGCAUAUUUGAGUUAUAUGGGUGGUUACCGAAUGUUGUUCGGAGUCCCGGAUGAGAUCACAGACGUCACGAGGGUUUCCGAAAUGGUCCGGAAACAAAGAUUGAUAUAUAGGAUGACCUCAUUUGAUUACUGGAAGGUUUUCGGAGUUACCGGGAAUGUGCUGGGAAUGACGAAUGGGUNNNNNNNNNNNNNNNNNNNNNNNNNNNNNNNNNNNNNNNNNNNNNNNNNNNNNNNNNNNNNNNNNNNNNNNNNNNNNNNNNNNNNNNNNNNNNNNNNNNNNNNNNNNNNNNNNNNNNNNNNNNNNNNNNNNNNNNNNNNNNNNNNNNNNNNNNNNNNNNNNNNNNNNNNNNNNNNNNNNNNNNNNNNNNNNNNNCACAGCCCAAGAAGGCCCUAUGCGCCAAAGGAUAAAAAAUCAAAGAGAAAAAAAGGGGAGGUGGGAAAGGAGAGAAGGACUCCACCUCCCAAUCCAAGUUGGAUUCGGUUUGGAAGGGGAGGACUUCCCCCCUUGGCUCGGCCGACCCCCUUGGGGCUCCUUGAGCCUNNNNNNNNNNGACAGCCCAAGAAGGCCCUAUGCGCCAAAGGAUAAAAAUCAAAGAGAAAGAAAAAAAAGGGGAGGUGGGAAAGGAGAGAAGGACUCCACCUUCCAAUCCAAGUUGGAUUCGGUUUGGAAGGGGGGGGACUUCCCCCCUUGGCUCGGCCGACCCCCUUGGGGCUCCUUGAGCCUCAAGGCAAGGCCCCUCCCCUCCCAUCUAUAUAUACAGAGGUAUUAGGGCUGAUUUGAGACAACUUUUGCCACGGCAGCCCGACCACAUACCUGCACGGUUUUUCCUCUAGAUCGUGUUUUUGCGGAGCUCGGGCGGAGCCCUGCCGAGAUCAGAUCACCACCAACCUCCGGAGCGCCUUCAUGCUGCCGGAGAACUCAUCUACCUCUCCGUCUCUCUUGCUGGAUCAAGAAGGCCGAGAUCAUCGUCGAGNNNNNNNNNNNNNNNNNNNNNNNNNNNNNNNNNNNNNNNNNNNNNNNNNNNNNNNNNNNNNNNNNNNNNNNNNNNNNNNNNNNNNNNNNNNNNNNNNNNNUUGAAUGAAAGUAAUGGACGAUCAGUCCUGAUUUCUAUUGAUUCUCAAGUUUAUAUACAUCUGGAAGAGGUGCGAAGAAGAGGUGCCUGUUCGGAGGCAUCCCUCCAGAACAGGUGCCUGUUGGCAAUAGAGAGAUAGAAUAGACAUGACUUUUCGGGGUUGGACACCCUUUCCUAAUUAAUUUCUAACACUCCCCCUUGUACAACACCGUUCCUUGAAUGCUUCAUUGUUGAAAGUUUCUUGCAUAUAUAGACCUUCCAUCUUGAUAAAUCUUAGAUAAUCUUGAGAGUCUCCCCCAAAAACCCUGUGGGAAAAAUAUGAGGAGAAUAGAGUAGAUAUGUUUCUUUACCAUGAAAAUGGUAAUACCAUCAUAAGGAGAUGUAAAGUGUAUCAAGGGCUUUUCAACCUGAUCUGCAUAUGAAAAUGUGAGAUCAUGAGAUCUCAACUUCAAGUUGAUUUUAUAAUUACCAACAUUGUAAGUUGCGAUAGACUUGAGGUCUUGAAAAAUUAUUGGGUGAUCAUUCCAAAAUGUGCUCGGGGCAGCAUGUUUCUCUUAAGGAAAAUAUUUAAGGUGAAUAAAUAUUCAUCCAUUAUGUACUUAGUUUGAGAACUAAGUGAAGUUGGUGAGGGAUGAAAUACAUAUGAUCAUACUUAGCUAUUAAGAGAAUAGUCAUGACACAUAUUCCGAAGGUGGAGUUAUAGUGGCAAUAAUACCUCGGGUGGAUACAAUGACUGACGUCGUAAAUCAUCUUACAAUAAAUAAUCUCACCUAACAUGUACUUACUGUAUUUGGAAAUGUGAGCCAUGCGUUACUUGAAAAUGCUAAUGCAUUUGUUUAAUUUACUUCUAGGAGUAAGUGACAUCUAUAAAUAAAUGAUUUGUUUGAGAACAAUCAUAGUCAAGGUGAUCCUUGGUGAACCUGGGUGUAUCCUUCAAUUUAACACACGUGAUUAAAUUAUUGCUAAUGUUUUGGACUUCAUUCUUGAGGAAGUGUGUGACUUUAGAGUCGCUGCCAAAACGUAUAGACUUGCAUGCUUAACAUUGGUUAGCCACUAUGAAAGUAUAACCACGAUGUGAUGUGGUCCUUGCGGAAGUGUUGUGACACUAAGUCAUUUCCAUACAUUAUGGGAUCCAUCUUGAUGGAUGGACGAUCCUAUAAUUAGAAAUAUUGUCGUAGGCUUCAUUGCCAUGUGUUUUACCAAUGUAAUAGAAGGUAAUCACAAGUAAAUGCAAAUAUUUAUGUAGUUCCCUAUGGUAUAUUCAAGCAAAAAGAGCCUUGAAUAAUUGAUAUUGAUAGAUAAUACCAUUCAACAUGCAAUAAUCAUGCAUGAAUUUACUAUGAUAGUAAAUCAUUUUAGUGAACAACAACAAUUGCUUCAGAGGAGCAAAUUUUAGUACGGCUGAUGCCAUAUAGCCAUAUGUGUAGACCUCAAUUUAUAUAGGAUGACACUUUAAAGAUAAUCAUCAAUAUGGUGUAGAUCUCGCAGUAAUAGAAAACAUAGUCUGACUAUUGUCAGUACAUGUUUAUAAUUCUAUUACCUUAUGUUAUCUAGAGGUAGUCACAUAUUAAUAUUUGGAAGGGCACUUUGAAGGUAAUCAUCUUGUAAAACACAAGAUGUAGACCUCAUAGUAGUGAUGAAUAAUCUACGAAUUGUGCAGUAGAUGUCAUCAGUACCUUGUAAUUCACAAAUAAAAAUUUAGAUGCCGCCAUAUCAAGUAUGAGACUACGUAAUCCUUGUUUGGAAUUACAAUAAGAUUUGCAAAAAUUAAAAUUAAUUGCAAAAAUAUAGUUGUUCUCCUAAAACACAUGCCUUAGGAAUUAUUUGAGGCAAGACAUAUAUAUUGUCUUAAAUUCCGAAGGAAUAAAUGCACGUAAAACAUUCUUUUGCAUUUAGUAUUACUGUGGUAAUACAUAUAGAUGCAAAACUUAAUAAUUCACAUAUCUAUGUAAUAUAUGAAGACAUGAGGCUUCACAUGAUAUUUUACAAGAUGUAAAAUGAUGCAUAAUUGUAUUUUAUGCAACCUCCGAAGACCCCCACGGCCUAACAUAUGUAUUUGUUUUAAAGCAGAGGCUUUAUAUAAAUAUAAAUAAUAACUAGCAAAAGGACCCAUGCGUUGCAACGGGAGAAAGAAAUACCACACGGCACACACUCUUAAUUUAUAAAAAAAUGUCUAUAAUUUGAGAAUUUAUAGUUACGAUACAAAUAAAGAUGGUCUUAUCCUAAAAAAAUGCAGUUCAAAAUUUCACAGGUCUUCCAUUUUAACACGGCUUGCAUGUAGAUUUAAUACGUGCAAAGAAUCAGUCAAGUGACCUUCAGUUUCAUCUCUAAUCCUGAUUUUGUUGACGUGUUCAUCCCCAACCCGGAUGAGUACCGGUAUGAAAGAAAGACGAAUAAUAACUUAUUUAUUAAGAUUGCAUCCUAAAUAGUAUUUUUAUUAAACGUUUAACAGAUAAAAUAAUAUCAUAUUUAAAUUCUACAUAUUUUUCUAAUCAAAUUCCAUGUAUAAUAUGUUUAAUUUGGAGUUACGGUUUAAAAAAUAUGAGUAUUUAAAAAAUAUUUAAUAUAUACUACGAGUUUAAUGUCAUAAACAGUAAGGGCUUUUUUGUAAAAUCACCUCGGUGGGUUUUCCGACGGAAGCGAUAGCCUCUUUAUUAUUAGGUAAAGAUAACCUGAGCCUCGGUCUGAACCGUAAAGUCCAAUAUGAUGGCUCGUUUCAUAACAUUCAUUAAGCCAGAGGGCUUAAUCGCAAAGAUCUGUUAAUCCAUGGGUUCAGCAAAAAAAAUGUAGGAACUUAUUUGUGAUUAUGAGAAACCACGAGGGCUGAAGUGAAAACACCCGAAGAGAUAAGGUUCUCUUUUUUUUUUCUCUCCGGAGCGGUUCCUCACGGGAAUUUCUCCCGUAACCGAGCGCUGCGGGGCUCUAUGCGAUGGAGCGGUCGAUCGACGGCAAGAGCGGCGAGGGCUGAGGGGCGGCGCGAUGGCGUCCUCGGUGCGCGGCUGCUCAAGCCCAUGGUCAUCUCCGGCUGAGGCGAAGUGGGUCCAUCGGCGUUGGCGGCGCGAGCCACGCCGCCAGCGGAGGCGGAGCCCAGAGGUGGCGGCAGGGCUGGCCACGGCCUGGUGCGGCCGGGCGCGGGCACUGCUGGGCGGGCGGGGCCGGCCAUGGUUUGGCGCGGACGGGCACAGGCACAGCCUGACGCGGGCUCGGAUGGGUGAGGCCAUGGCCUGGCGCGGGCGGCCACGGCGCGCCGCAGCACAAGGAGGCGGCCGGGCGGACGACCGCUAGGCACGUCGCGGCGCGGCGCAGAGGCCGGGUGGACGGACGCGCGGCCAGGGGCUGCUCGGAGCCGGCGCGGCAGCCGUGCGAAAGCCUCGUCGAGGGCCGUCGACGGUAGGAAUCGGCUGUUGGUCGCCGCGCGCAGCCGUGCGCCGGGGCUGCAACUCGAGCGCUUGAGGGCGCUUGCCACGCGGAUGUGCCUCGUGUUAGGGACAGGGAGCGUCGCGGGAAGGGGUGCUGCUGCCGUGCCUGGAGGCGUGGCCGGUCACUGGCGUCCGCGUCGCGCCGGAGGGCGCCGCUUCGACGCGCUGCAGCGGAGGGCGUCGUAGACCGUGUGGUGCCUCUGUCGCCUGCAUCGCGCACUGGUGUUUGUGCCGCCGGAGCGUUGUCGAGGCAGAGGCGCUGGAAGGCGCCGCCGCCAUGGCCGUGCAUCAGGCCGAUGGCCAUGGACGCUGGUGCCGUCGAUUUGCCCCGUUCUCCGCCGUUGUAUUGGCCUACCUGCUCCGUGGAAGAGGCGUGCAUGAUAACGUGUUAGAGUAAAACGAGAUUGAAUGAAAGUAAUGGACGAUCAGUCCUGAUUUCUAUUGAUUCUCAAGUUUAUAUACAUCUG